UACGUAGGUGGCAAGCGUUGUCCGGAUUCACUGGGCUUAAAGGGUGCGUAGGCGGCUCAGAAAGUAGGGUGUGAAAGCCCUCGGCUCAACCGAGGAAUUGCGCCCUAAACUACUGGGCUUGAGGAACGCAGAGGUAAGCGGAACUUACGGUGGAGCGGUGAAAUGCGUUGAUAUCGGAAGGAACAUCAGUGGCGAAAGCGGCUUCCUGGUCCAGCACCGACGUUCAGGCACGAAAGCGUGGGGAGCAAACAGG
rnacentral:rRNA from 1 species